UGGGGAAUUUUGGACAAUGGGGGAAACCCUGAUCCAGCCAUCCCGCGUGUGCGAUGAAGGCCUUCGGGUUGUAAAGCACUUUUGGCAGGAAAGAAACGUCAUGGGUUAAUACCCCGUGAAACUGACGGUACCUGCAGAAUAAGCACCGGCUAACUACGUGCCAGCAGCCGCGGUAAUACGUAGGGUGCAAGCGUUAAUCGGAAUUACUGGGCGUAAAGCGUGCGCAGGCGGUUCGGAAAGAAAGAAGUGAAAUCCCAGAGCUCAACUUUGGAACUGCAUUUUUAACUACCGGGCUAGAGUGUGUCAGAGGGAGGUGGAAUUCCGCGUGUAGCAGUGAAAUGCGUAGAUAUGCGGAGGAACACCGAUGGCGAAGGCAGCCUCCUGGGAUAACACUGACGCUCAUGCACGAAAGCGUGGGGAGCAAACAGG
rnacentral:rRNA from 1 species